rnacentral:rRNA from 1 species
GGGUGACUGCGUACCUUUUGUAUAAUGGGUCAACGACUUAGUGUAACAAGCAAGCUUAAGCCGGUAGGUGUAGGCGCAGCGAAAGCGAGUCUGAAUAGGGCGAUAUAGUUUGUUGCAUUAGACCCGAAACCAGGUGAUCUAGCCAUGAGCAGGUUGAAGGUUGGGUAACACCAACUGGAGGACCGAACCCGCAUCUGUUGCAAUAGAUUGGGAUGACUUGUGGUUAGGGGUGAAAGGCCAAUCAAACCUGGAGAUAGCUGGUUCUCCGCGAAAUCUAUUUAGGUAGAGCGUCGACCGAAUACCCUGGGGGGUAGAGCACUGGAUGGGCUAUGGGGACUCACCGUCUUACUGAUCCUAACCAAACUCCGAAUACCCAGGAGUACUAGUCGGCAGACACACGGCGGGUGCUAACGUCCGUCGUGAAAAGGGCAACAACCCUAAUCUCCAGCUAAGGUCCCCAAGUCAUGGCUAAGUGGGAAAGAUGUGAGACUCCCAAAACACCAGGAUGUGGCUUAGAAGCAGCCAUCA